UGAGACAGUUCGGUCCCUAUCCGGCGCGGGCGGAGGAUAUUUGAGAGGAGCUGCCCCUAGUACGAGAGGACCGGGGUGGACGGACCACUGGUGUAUCAGCUGUCGACCAACGGCAUAGCUGAGUAGCCAAGUCUGGACGGGAUAAACGCUGAAGGCAUCUAAGCGUGAAGCCCCCCUCAAGAUGAGAUAUCCCCUCCUUCAAGGAGAUAAGAUCCCUUAAAGACGAUAAGGUAGAUAGGUUCAAGGUGUAAGUGUGGUAACACAUUCAGCUGAUGAAUACUAAUAGAUCGAAGGUUUAUUCU
rnacentral:rRNA from 1 species